UUCCUUCUAUGACAAGGACCCUGAUUCGACACGGCUGCCCAUGUUCCCAGCUCCAGGAGAUAAACGAAGUCAAACCUAAGCCACUCAUGACAAAUUUGUCUCCUGUGUAAUUGGUCUAGGCACAAGCACAUGACCCAUUUAUAGACAAUGAGACAGGCCCUUGUUGAAUUAGAACACUGCUGCUAAAAUUGAAAGCAUGGUA
rnacentral:lncRNA from 1 species